rnacentral:rRNA from 1 species
UACGAAGGGGGCUAGCGUUGCUCGGAAUCACUGGGCGUAAAGCGCACGUAGGCGGGUCCUUAAGUCAGGGGGGAAAUCCCGGAGCUCAACUCCGGAACUGCCUUUGAUACUGGGGAUCUUGAGUCCGGAAGAGGUGAGUGGAACUCCGAGUGUAGAGGUGAAAUUCGUAGAUAUUCGGAAGAACACCAGUGGCGAAGGCGGCUCACUGGUCCGGUACUGACGCUGAGGUGCGAAAGCCAGGGGAGCAAACGGG